rnacentral:rRNA from 2 species
UGGGAGCUUGCUCCCUGAGAUUAGCGGCGGACGGGUGAGUAACACGUGGGCAACCUGCCUAUAAGACUGGGAUAACUUCGGGAAACCGGAGCUAAUACCGGAUACGUUCUUUUCUCGCAUGAGAGAAGAUGGAAAGACGGUUUACGCUGUCACUUAUAGAUGGGCCCGCGGCGCAUUAGCUAGUUGGUGAGGUAAUGGCUCACCAAGGCGACGAUGCGUAGCCGACCUGAGAGGGUGAUCGGCCACACUGGGACUGAGACACGGCCCAGACUCCUACGGGAGGCAGCAGUAGGGAAUCUUCCGCAAUGGACGAAAGUCUGACGGAGCAACGCCGCGUGAACGAAGAAGGCCUUCGGGUCGUAAAGUUCUGUUGUUAGGGAAGAACAAGUACCAGAGUAACUGCUGGUACCUUGACGGUACCUAACCAGAAAGCCACGGCUAACUACGUGCCAG